UACAGAGGUCUCAAGCGUUGUUCGGAUUCAUUGGGCGUAAAGGGUGCGUAGGCGGCGCGGUAAGUCGGGUGUGAAAUCUCGGAGCUUAACUCCGAAACUGCAUUCGAUGCUGCCGUGCUUGAGGACUGGAGAGGAGACUGGAAUUUACGGUGUAGCGGUGAAAUGCGUAGAUAUCGUAAGGAAGACCAGUGGCGAAGGCGGGUCUCUGGGCCGAUACUGACGCUGAGGAGCGAAAGCGUGGGGAGCGAACAGG
rnacentral:rRNA from 1 species